UAAGCGCAUACGGUGGAUGCCUUGGCAGUCAGAGGCGAUGAAAGACGUGGAAGCCUGCGAUAAGGCUCGGGGAGCUGGCAAACAAGCUGUGAUCCGGGCAUCUCUGAAUGGGGAAACCCACCGGUCUUCGGACCGGUACCGUACGGUGAAUACAUAGCCGUACGGGGCGAACUCGGGGAACUGAAACAUCUAAGUACCCGAAGGAAAAGAAAUCAACCGAGAUUCCCUCAGUAGCGGCGAGCGAACGGGGACCAGCCCUUAAGCUGGACAACUGGUAGGAGAAGGCCCUGGAAAGAGCCGCCAUAGUGGGUGAUAGCCCCGUAUCCGAAACCUGAGUCCAGUGAAAUCGAGUAGGACGGGACACGAGACAUCCUGUCUGAACAUGGGGGGACCAUCCUCCAAGGCUAAAUACUCCUGACUGACCGAUAGUGAACCAGUACCGUGAGGGAAAGGCGAAAAGAACCCCUGUGAGGGGAGUGAAAUAGAUCCUGAAACCGUAUGCGUACAAGCAGUCGGAGCGGACUUGUUCCGUGACGGCGUACCUUUUGUAUAAUGGGUCAGCGACUUAU
rnacentral:rRNA from 1 species